UACAAACAAGGUGCUGUGUUUGGAGC
rnacentral:piRNA from 1 species